CAGUCGCCGCGGUAAUACGUAGGGUGCAAGCGUUAAUCGGAAUUAUUGGGCGUAAAGGGCUCGCAGGCGGUUUCUUAAGUCUGAUGUGAAAGCCCCCGGCUCAACCGGGGAGGGUCAUUGGAAACUGGGAAACUUGAGUGCAGAAGAGGAGAGUGGAAUUCCACGUGUAGCGGUGAAAUGCGUAGAGAUGUGGAGGAACACCAGUGGCGAAGGCGACUCUCUGGUCUGUAACUGACGCUGAGGAGCGAAAGCGUGGGGAGCGAACAGGAUUAGAUACCCCCGUAGUCCCUGUCUCUUAUAC
rnacentral:rRNA from 1 species